rnacentral:rRNA from 1 species
UACGGAGGGUGCGAGCGUUGUCCGGAAUCACUGGGCGUAAAGGGCGCGUAGGCGGUGACCAAAGUCAACGGUGAAAGCCCGGGGCUCAACCCCGGGUCGGCCGUCGAUACUGGGUUACUGGAGCACUGUAGAGGCAGGUGGAAUUCCGGGUGUAGCGGUGGAAUGCGUAGAGAUCCGGAAGAACACCGGUGGCGAAGGCGGCCUGCUGGGCAGUAGCUGACGCUGAUGCGCGACAGCGUGGGGAGCAAACGGG